rnacentral:rRNA from 1 species
CCUACGGGAGGCAGCAGUGGGGAAUAUUGCACAAUGGGGGAAACCCUGAUGCAGCGACGCCGCGUGAGUGAAGAAGUAAUUCGUUAUGUAAAGCUCUAUCAGCAGGGAAGAAAAUGACGGUACCUGAGUAAGAAGCCCCGGCUAACUACGUCCCAGCAGCAGCGGUAAUACGUAGGGGGCAAGCGUCAUCCGGAUUUACUGGGUGUAAAGGGAGUGUAGGCUGUGAGGUAAGUCAGCGGUGAAAUGCCCCCGCUCAACGGGGUGAAGUGCCAUUGAUACUGCCUAGCUGGAAUGCGGAUGCCGUGGGAGGAAUGUGUGGUGUAGCGGUGAAAUGCAUAGAUAUCACACAGAACACCGAUUGCGAAGGCAUCUCACGAAUCCGCGAUUGACGCUGAUGCACGAAAGCGUGGGUAUCAAACAGGAUUAGAUACCCCAGUAGUC